AGCUUUUUAAGGUUGUCUGAUGAUAAUCUUAAUUCUGUCUCCAAUCUUACUUCCCCCUUGUCUCACAGGGUAGCAGAUUCACAGGUUCUUGGGACUUAGAUGUGGUCAUCUUUGGAGAGCCAUCCUGCUGCACGCUCCGAUGUUCAAGUCUGAUUUAACUCACCCCUGCACUCUCUUGAAGUGGACCUGGAUUGAGAGCUCGGUUCUGAGACUUACCAGUUGCAUGGAGAAUGGCAACGAUCAUGGUGACCUACUCUGAGAGCAUGAGUCCAGAUGUGUUUUGUUUACAUCAAUGUCAAAUAACACAGUGACACUUCUUCAGAGAAAUGAAUGGGUGUUCAUACCACCUGAGAGCAUUGAGGGCAACAGACAUUCUUGUCUACUGCAGAAUCACACCAAAUCUUGAACUCGGGCAGUUAAAAAUCUUCUGAUCUGGUUCUCCAUCCCAUAACAUUUAUGGAAGGUGCAGCCCGUGCAUUCUUGGCUGGAAGGUGAGACAUAGACGGUGUUGGAUGAUUCCCGGUGCAGUACAUCUGGAGGCUCCUGAUGUCCACCUGUCUGUCACUGGUGACAGUACACACCCCCAGGCCUUCACCCAGCGUGGAGAUGGAGUGGAGGACGGGUGGAAGAGCAUUGGAGGGACAGGAAGACGGAACUGGCAGCAGUGCAAACCCAGAAUGAGGACCCGAAGCCUGCUGUGAGGGUGUGCUACCAAGUACACGACAAACACACACACACACACACACACACACACACACAAACACCCCCUGCAACACACAUACCCGCCCCCCACAUGCACAUACCACACACAGCACACAGGCUCAGAUCCUCUUUGUAGUUUUCAGUUCUCAACGAGGUCCUGUUUUAGCACAGAGGCAGGUCAUUGCAAGAAAUAUUUGGGAGAGAUUUUUCAAAUUUCUGCAUUUGAACUUUGCAUGUGCUCCCUCCCCGCUUUUUGACUUGUUGGGUUUUCCAGCCUUUGCAGCUAUGAUUAGGAGGUCUGAUUGCCACCGUGUGCCUUGGCAUAAAGCGGUGGCGUUUGGCCCUGGCAGGUUUUUAAUUCUCCAGGGUGUUUGAAAUACCCAGCGCUGCGCAGACCCCACCUGGGACCCACUGAACUGGGACUCUGAGGCAGGAGGAGCUGGAAGAGCCCAGGGGUACCUGCUGCGUACUGUGUGACGACCGUGGACUCCAUCUCCGCUCUCUGGCUAAGUUCCGUGGCUGGCUGACACGCACUGAGCACUUGCUGGGGCAGGCCAUGUGUCACAGGCAUCUGAGGGCUUUGUCUUUGCAGCCUCCAUUUUCCCUUUGGGUAAAAGCUUCCUGAUUCCUCUUGGGCUGCCACCACCCCCACUUUCAGCUCAUGUGGUUUUGGGGACACGGACCUGUGACCUUGACUUUAGGAGUAGACAUGGAUCUCAGUCUUGGCAAAUUGAUCAACUUGUACCCAGGACUUUCACUGAGAUGAUUGGCAAAAUGAUGCUCUCUCUCAUUUGGAGCUUCAAACUGAGAGGAUGUAAAUGUAAAAUUGCCAGGGGCUACUGCAGAGAAGGUACCAUCCCAAGGGUGAAACCAACAAAGAAGACAGCAGGAAAAGAGAUGAACCCUGGGGGGUAUGGUUUGAGUCCCUAGAUCCAUCCAUGCCUGAAGCUAUCUCUCCUGUAUCUCUAAAUUAUAAGUCAAUAAAUUCCUAUUUACUCAAGUCA